CUUACCUGGCAGGGGAGAUACCAUGAUCAGAAAGAUGGUUUGCCCAGAGCGAGGCUCAGCCAUUGCACUUGGGCCGUGCUGACCUUUGCGAAUUCCCCAAAUGUGGGAAUCUCGACUGC
rnacentral:sRNA from 1 species